UCCUGGGAGCAGACUGCACUUGACUACUAAAUACUGCCACUCCAGCACAUCAGCACCACUCCCUCUUACUGACAAAAAAUGGGGAGGAAGGGAGCACAGGAAAAAAGUGGCUUCUAGAAGUAUUCACAUCCCCUUUUUCAAGCUACCAUAGGAGCUUUAUCUUCCCCGACUUCCCGUCAUCCAUAUAGAAUGCUUUUUGAAGAAGUGUUUGAGACAGUAAGGACUGAGAAUCAAGUAGUCAUCAGCAGCAUGAAGAACAUGGCGCUUUCCUCCUUGGGCUGAGCAACAACUUUGGGCAGGAUGGUUCUGACCUAUGGCCUGAUUUCCACAGUGAUUUGAAAACUACUUGCAAAGCCAUUUUGGUACUCUUCUUUCUUCACCUGUAUAUAUGAAAGACUGGAUUCAGCAAUCAUAAGAAACAUCACCAGGAAGCAGAACAUGACUGAACUACCAACCAAGUAUCUCACUGCUCUUCCCUUUGGUUACACAGGAGUCCUUCUACCAGUU